GCCGACGUAGCUCAGUGGUAGAGCAAGUGUUUUGUAAACACUAGGCCGUCAGUUCAAAUCUGACCGUCGGCUCCA
rnacentral:tRNA from 1 species